rnacentral:tRNA from 1 species
AAAAAGGUAAGUUAAAAAAACUGCUUGAUUCAUGAUCAAAAAAUACACUUUAGUGUCCUUUUUA